UAUGUAUGUUAUUUUUCUUUAUACGAAAAUGGGAAUGGAUAAUGGCAAUUAUGUGUUUUUUAAUUAAAUGAAAUGAGAUUUAGAAGCACAGCUGAAUAAAUGACCAAAUACACUAAAUAUAUGCACCGAAUAGAUAGCACCUUAAUGACAUAUGAAUUACCUUUAGCUCAACUUAUAUUUAUAUUGUCUUUGGGACAACACUUGAUAUACACACAGCCUUUGAGGUAUAUAUCAGGUAGUAGCCCUUUGGGGUAGCUCUGCACACGUGAAUAACUAGUAUUUUUAUUGCUCUUAGGUUAUUGUUAUGUCAUUAUAGAGCCCAAGAUGUCAGCAAUGCUCUCAGACUACUAAAGUUUAUUAUUGCGCCUGAUAUGCUAGCAUUAUCUAGAG
rnacentral:misc_RNA from 1 species